rnacentral:misc_RNA from 1 species
GAUGAAGAACGCAGCGAAAUGCGAUAAGUAAUGUGAAUUGCAGAAUUCAGUGAAUCAUCGAAUCUUUGAACGCACAUUGCGCCCGCCAGUAUUCUGGCGGGAAUGCCUGUCCGAGCGUCAUUUCAACCCUCGAACCCCUCCGGGGGGUCGGCGUUGGGGAUCGGCCCUCCCUUAGCGGGUGGCCGUCUCCGAAAUACAGUGGCGGUCUCGCCGCAGCCUCUCCUGCGCAGUAGUUUGCACACUCGCAUCGGGAGCGCGGCGCGUCCACAGCCGUUAAACACCCAACUUCUGAAAUGUUGACCUCGGAUCAGGUAGGAAUACCCGCUGAACUUAAGCAUAUCAAUAAGCGGAGGA